rnacentral:rRNA from 1 species
UACGUAGGUGGCAAGCGUUGUCCGGAAUUACUGGGUGUAAAGGGAGUGUAGGCGGGAUUUUAAGUCAGAAGUGAAAAUUGUGGGCUCAACUCACAACCUGCUUUUGAAACUGAAAUUCUUGAGUGAAGUAGAGGCAAGCGGAAUUCCUAGUGUAGCGGUGAAAUGCGUAGAUAUAUGGAGGAACACCAGUGGCGAAGGCGACUCUCUGGUCUGUAACUGACGCUGAGGCUCGAAAGCGUGGGGAGCAAACAGGAUUAGAUACCCGCGUA